rnacentral:rRNA from 1 species
AUUCUUUUUCUCGCUUUAGGUGUUAACGCUGGCUUCUGGCCACUAAACCCCCCCCUAUUCCUAAUGGUUGACCUCGGAUCAGGUAGGACUACCCGCUGAACUUAAGCAUA